UGCAGAGGCAUACCAGGGGAACUGAAACAUCUAAGUACCCUGAGGAAGAGAAAACAAUAGUGAUUCCGUCAGUAGCGGCGAGCGAACGCGGAGAAGCCCAAACCAAGGAGCUUGCUCUUUGGGGUUGUGGGACGUCUCACAUGGAGUUACAAAGGAACCGGUUAAGCGAAGAGGUCUGGAAAGGCCCGCCAAAGAAGGUAAAAGCCCUGUAGUUGAAAGUCUGUUCCCUCCGAGACGGAUCCCGAGUAGUGCGGGGCACGUGAAACCCCGUAUGAAUCCGGCAGGACCAUCUGCCAAGGCUAAAUACUUCCUAGCGACCGAUAGUGAAGCAGUACCGUGAGGGAAAGGUGAAAAGCACCCCGGAAGGGGAGUGAAAUAGAACCUGAAACCGUGUGCUUACAAAAAGUCAGAGCCCGUUUUAGGGGUGAUGGCGUGCCUUUUGUAGAAUGAACCGGCGAGUUACGUUCCCGUGCAAGGUUAAGGUGAAGAGCCGGAGCCGCAGCGAAAGCGAGUCUGAAUAGGGCGA
rnacentral:rRNA from 1 species